rnacentral:rRNA from 1 species
GACGAACGCUGGCGGCGUGCUUAACCCAUGCCAGUCGAACGGAAAGGCCCUGCUUUUGUGGGGUGCUCGAGUGGCGAACGGGUGAGUAACACGUGAGUAACCUGCCCUUGACUUUGGGAUAACUUCAGGAAACUGGGGCUAAUACCGGAUAGGAGCUCCUGCUGCAUGGUGGGGGUUGGAAAGUUUCGGCGGUUGGGGAUGGACUCGCGGCUUAUCAGCUUGUUGGUGGGGUAGUGGCUUACCAAGGCUUUGACGGGUAGCCGGCCUGAGAGGGUGACCGGCCACAUUGGGACUGAGAUACGGCCCAGACUCCUACGGGAGGCAGCAGUGGGGAAUAUUGCACAAUGGGCGGAAGCCUGAUGCAGCAACGCCGCGUGCGGGAGGACGGCCUUCGGGUGGUAAACCGCUUUCGCCUGUGACGAAGCGUGAGUGACGGGAAUGGGGAAAGAAGCACCGGCUAACUACGU